rnacentral:rRNA from 1 species
GUGAGGAAUAUUGGUCAAUGGGCGAGAGCCUGAACCAGCCAAGUCGCGUGAAGGAUGAAGGUUUUAUGAAUUGUAAACUUCUUUUGCAGGGGAAUAAAGUACGGUACGUGUACCGUUUUGUAUGUACUCUGCGAAUAAGGAUCGGCUAACUCCGUGCCAGCAGCCGCGGUAAUACGGAGGAUCCAAGCGUUAUCCGGAUUUAUUGGGUUUCAAGGGUGCGCAGGCGGGUUGAUAAGUCAGCGGUGAAAGUUUGCAGCUUAACUGUAAAAUUGCCGUUGAAACUGUCGAUCUUGAGUGCAAAUGAGGUAAGCGGAAUGUGUUGUGUAGCGGUGAAAUGCUUAGAUAUAACACAGAACACCGAUUGCGAAGGCAGCUUACUGGGAUGCAACUGACGCUCAUGCACGAAAGCGUGGGGAUCAAACAGGAUUAGAAACCCUAGUAGUCC